rnacentral:sRNA from 1 species
UUUUGAGUUUGAUUUUUGAUUGGAAAAAAUAUUUAUAACUCUGCCGCAUAGGCAAACCCAAAGAGGAUUAAAGUGGGUCAGCUACCUAAAAUUCUACAUUUGCAUUAUAACCCUUUAAAGUGUAUAUAUUAUUUAUAUUUCUUCAACUUUUAUCCCUUUAAAAUUACAAAUUUGUUUGUAAAUCAUUUA